AACAAAUGGGUUGCUUCGUCCACAAGAUAUUUCUGGAUCUACCAUUUUUCUGGAUCUACCAAUUCUCCUCCUCGCCUCUCUCUCGCUCUCUCUCUCAUUUGUUGAUCGACAGAUAUCCAUUCUCCCCUCGCAAAAGAAGAAGAGAUGAUUGAUUCCCUUUCUCGAUUCAUUUGUCAAGGGAUAAUUCAACCUCUCCCCCGUUUCAUUUCUUGACAGAUAGUCCAGCCUCUUGCAUUUUUCUUUCUUUUUCGAGGCAUCUUGCAUUUCAUUUGUAGAGACACAAUUCAUCCUCUCCUCCCGCUCCAUUUGAAGCAAGAUAAGAUAAUUCAUCACCUCUCCCGCCCAUUCCAAUUGCCGAGAGAGAAUCCAUCCAUUGCCGCAUCGCAAUAUGCAUCAACAUCAGGGCAUCUCUCAUCGCGACGGGGAAGCAGGAACUCCUGGGCCGAUGAUGCCUCCGUCCAAGGACGAGGAGGAGGAGGAGCCUCCUCGUAAGCCUCCGGUGUCCACAACGUGCUUCAUAUUAGGAUUUUUCGCCGCGCUAUGCUGCUGCUGCUUGGUUGACGAGCCGCUCAUGUGACACGGGUUGUCUUGCGUGCUGUGCCGUGCUUUUUGUACAUAAUGCAGGAAACAAGCUAUCUAUCUCUGGCCCGUGAAUGCUUUGCUUUCCUACUGAAAUUCGGAGAAUUCUCCUUGCACACAAGUGAUUGUUGGAACUAUGUAGAUCAGGACUAUUAAACAAAUUCAAUAAUUUCUAGGUGGACUUUAGCCCGUAUUUUUUGCUACUCGCAAGGGAGUUAGACCAGCAUAUUUUUCGAGAAAUUUCCUUCCACCGCUAAGAGUUUCAAAAGAAGAUACAUGCACACGCAUUGAUCCUUCGCGGUCCACCUCACCUCGCGCACCUUGUUUUGUGAACAGGAUAAGAUGGACUCAAACACAAGCCAAGUGUGUGCGUUGUCUUCUUUUUUACGUGUGUCAGAAAUCGAAACAUUUUGUGUUGUAGUGGAAGAUAAAUCCGACCAGUUUUGUGGCCUGCUCCUUUCAUCUUCUAUAAUGGUUCAACUUUGA